CCACAUGCAUUUUUGACCCAACAAAAACUGUUAUAUAGGACACCCGGAUUAUUCCGGAUGGUAUUCCGUAAAGGUCUGGGGGACCCUUUGAAGCCAAUAUUGAGCAUUGAUGGGAUUGUUGUUCAUAUUCUGUUAUAGAAGACCCCCGGAUUGUUUCGGAUGGUAUUCCGUAAAGGUCUGGAGGACCAUUUGGAGCCCAUAUUGAGCAUUGAUGGAAUUGUUAUUCAUAUUCUGUUAUAGAAGAACCCCCGGAUUGUUUCGGAUGGUAUUCCAUAAAGGUCUGGAGGACCAUUUGGAGCCCAUAUUGAGCAUUGAUGGAAUUGUUAUUCAUAUUCUGUUAUAGAAGAACCCCCGGAUUGUUUCGGAUGGUAUACCGUAAAGGUCUGGAGGACCAUUUGGAGCCCAUAUUGAGCAUUGAUGGAAUUGUUAUUCAUAUUUUGCUAUAGAAGAACCCCCGGUUUGUUUCGGAUGGUAGUCCGUAAAGGCCUGGAGGGCCAUUUGGAACCAAGGCUAGGCAUUCGUGGAAAUGUUAUUCCUCUUAAAAUUAUGUUUGUCGAAAAUUCCCUUGUAGGGUUGCAGGACAUGUUCAUCAGUCGUGGACCUUGGGAUCAUCGAGUGUUUCAGCCAUUAUCACGAGACACUCUCCCCCAAGGGAGGCCCACCCGAGGUCGAUCAACUCUCGGGUCAUGUUCCAUACCCCCUCAAGAACCUUUUCUUUGUAUAGAUAAAAACUCGGGUUAAGGUUAGGGAAUAAGGCUAAAGGUUAAGGUUAGGAUUAAGAUUAGGAUUAAGAUUAGGGUUAGCUGUCGGGAUAAACACUCGGGUUAAGGUUAGGGAAUAAGGCUAAAGGUUAAGGUUAGGAUUUAGAUCAGUGGUAGGGAUAGCCACUCGGGUUAAGGUCAGGGAAUAGGGCUAAAGGUUAAGGUUAGGAUUAAGAUUAGGGUUAACUGUCGGGAUAAACACUCGGGUUAAGGUUAGAGAAUAAGGCUAAAAGUUAAGGUUAGGAUU